rnacentral:rRNA from 1 species
UCUACGGGAGGCAGCAGUGGGGAAUAUUGGGCAAUGGGCGCAAGCCUGACCCAGCAACGCCGCGUGAAGGAAGAAGGCUUUCGGGUUGGAAACUUCUUUUAAGGGGGACGAACAAAUGACGGUACCCCUUGAAUAAGACACGGCUAACUACGUGCCAGCAGCCGCGGUAAUACGUAGGUGGCAAGCUUUAUCCGGAUUUAUUGAGUGUAAAGGGCGUGUAGGCGGGAGCGCACGUCAGAUGUGACAACUCAGGGCUCAACCCUGAGCCUGCAUUUGAAACUGUGUUUCGUGAGUGCUGGUGAGGCAAUCGGAAUUCCGUGUGUAGCGGUGAAAUGCGUAGAUAUACGGAGGAACACCAGUGGCGAAGGCGGAUUGCUGGACAGUAACUGACGCUGAGGCGCGAAAGCGUGGGGAGCAAACAGGAUUAGAUACCCCGGUAGUC